UAAAAAUGAAAUUAAGUGUGGAUUAGUGAAAUAAUGACCAGCCAAAACUGAAAGAAACAAAACAGGAUGAUAAAAGUGACAGGUGAAAGAUUUAGCCCAAUUGCAGGUAACUUUUCAACAUAAAGACAAACAUGCCCCCCAAAAAAUGCUUUCCAUUUAAGUUAUGCCUUUUACUGAAUAAUUCAGUUCUAAACUCAGCCAUUUAUAGGGUUACAAUUAAAAUCAUUUUAAGAAUCAAACUAGUCUUCUCUAAAGAAGGCAGUUUCCUAUUAUGAAGAUACUGCCUUUUGCUUUUAUAAGAGUAUAAAGAAAUCUAUAGGAAGACUAGCCCUUUCUACUGAAAAGUCAACGUCCACGAACUGGCCUGGGAAGGAUCAAAAUAGGAUGAAGGGAAUGUUGCUGAGGAAACCAGGUGACGUCAUAGAAGAUGCAGGAGAGGCCAACCACCUGUUAGAAAACCCCCUUCCUUGCUUCCAGGCAGCCAGGACAGGACCACUGUUGCUUCACUCCUAGGUGAUUCCUCUCCUCCCCUCCAAGAAAGAGGCAAAACUACCUUAACUCGACCACUCAAAAGAAAGGAAAUCCUCAAUCCUCACUUAAUUGUUUAGUGGUCCAUCUCUCCUCAUCUCACAGACAGGCUAGACCCAUACCGGGUCAGGUUGAGAGGAGAGAUCUACCCAGGAGUAGUGGGCAUCUCUGUGCAGCUUGCACAGUGCCAGACGACCUCUGCCUGGGAUGAGUCACUCACUGCCCGCCUACUAUUCAUCCCAAGUGCGGACCUCUGAAAUCCAGCCGAGGAUUUCUGAGUCAGGCAGUUUUUUAUGGUUGCUGCAUUCCUCUGUCAAAGGAAAUUUUUGCCUCCUUUGAGAAUAAGUGAUAAUUUUAUGCAUAUUCUUGGAUCCUAGCAAAAAGUCAAGAUCAUUUGGAUCACUGCCUGCAUUAAGUGGACUCCCAUUGAAUUUACAAAAGAGGAAGUUUAAAUUAUUUCUUUAAAAUUACAUUAGAAAUAGUCUGUCCUUUCCAAAAAAUUCAGAAACUUAUAGAGAUAAACAUUUCAGACUGUUUUCUGGAAGAUCCAGUCCUGCUUAACAAAAAACAGACUCUAAGUUCAUCUGAUGUAACAUCAACACCACUCCUGGGAGCCACUUAAGAAGCAAAACUGCUCCGAGUAUGGUUCGGACAGUUGAAUGUCAUCUAAAUUUCCUCCAACCACUGUAGAAAACACUCUUUUUCUUUCAUUUUUUAAGCCCCUGGCAGCUACCUGCUUCCAGAAGUUCAGCUUUUUUGAGAUUUCAUACAUAAUCCCCAAAACUGUGGCUCAUUUGAAAAUCGAUCUGAGCUGAAGGCAACCCAAGCCUCUUGCCUCUGACAACUCCAUCCAGGUAGGACAUCUUCCUUCAUCACCAUGGUCUUGGGCGUGCUCUCCUGAGCUUUAUUCUCUUCUCUCCCACCACAGGUUUCAAGUUUCUUCCUUCCUUCCUUUCUUUCUUCAUCCCUUCCUUCCUCUCUGUCUCCCUUUCUUUCUCUUUUGGCUGAGAUGCCUGCACCCAAAGUCUAACUUUCCAAAACCAUUUAUGUUCCAUCAGCCGUGACUCCUACUCUCAGCUGUAGUGACAGGAAAUUGAGUGGUAGGUACAAGGCUGUGAUGGAAAAAAGAUGAAUAAUUUCCUGAAAACUUUCCUCACUCUCAACAUGAGGGUCCUGGGUUGCCUCACCACAAAGCUGGAUUCACAGAUUAAAAUGCAAGAGUGAAAACACCAUCCUUCCCACCCCUUCACUUUUCAGGGAAGCAGUGAUGGCAGGGAUGGCUGCCUGACCGCCACCUCAGAAGGAACGUGUUGAUGGGGUGGGCACCGACCACCCAGCGAGUCUGCAUGGAACCCAUGCUGAAGCACGUGCCAAGCCAACAUGGCUUCCGCAGUAGUGGUGGCAAGGGAGGCAGCCCAUCAUUACUUCUGUUUUAUUUUAUUUUAUUUUAUUGGAGUACAAUUGAUCUACCAUGUUGUAUUUCAUUUCUGUUAUACAGCAAGAUGACUCAGUUAUACAUAUAUUUUCUUUUUCAUAUUCUUUCUUAUCAUGGCUUAUCAUAGGACAUUGAACUAUAUUUAAUAUCCGUCAUUACUUCCUGAAUGUGAUAUUUUUGGUUUUGUUGACUGAUUGCAUAGGCCGACUGAUCACCCUUGCAAUAUCAUUGUGGUUCUUUAUUAUGAGACAAGAAUUCAAAUAAAACUAGAGUGCCAGUCUCAAAAGAGUCAGAAGAAUAUGUAUAAGUACCAGUGGGUCCCAGGCUCCCAGAGAACAGUUUUCUCUUUGACCUCAUUUUCUCAUAAACUCAAGAGUAGGCAUUGGAGCAAAUAAAUUUCAUUGGCAAAUCAUCCAACAUUUGGUAUUAUCUGGGCAAAACUUUGCUCCAUCCGACUGACCCAAUUCUUCUGCCCCAUGGGGUCUUGGAGGUGUUAAGGUUAACAAAUCAAUGCAUGAGUGACAACUAUUACAGCUCUGGCCCUCUCACAGCCUGCUGCUAGUCUUAUGUUUUGACUUGAUUAGUCAGAAUACAGACAACACUCAGACUGCUGUCUAAACUAGAAGGUGCUGAAGUCAUUAGUGCCUUGGUUUGAGCAGCUCUAAAACCUUCUAUUAAAGUGUCUGUGGUCUCCUAUGAAACCAAAUGUUUCUGUAACGUUAAACAGAGCACAGAAGCCACUGUGCUUCUCAUCUAUUUGUCCUAGAAAAAACUGGGUCUCCUGCACUGGUCUCCUCAUAACUCAAGAACAGACCUGAGAUCUGACAUAAAUAAGCAAAAUUCCUACUAAGUUCCAGUUGCUAUCCAUCACAGAGGCCUGCUGAUGGUAUCUGAGUUCUAAAGGUGUAGAAAAGAUGUCCCUGACCACAUACAAAGUGCCACGGCAAUCAAGACUAUUCUUAGAGUUACAUAAAAGAUGCCUCAUAAAAAAUUUUUAAUUUUCAGAUUUAACGCAAUUUUCUAGGAUUCUUGAAUCUCUUUCCAAUUAACAAAAAUUCAUUGGUUUUCUGAGUAUGCUGAAUUUUUUUAAAUUUCCAGAAUUCUAACGACUCAUUUAAAGUCCCACCAUUUUGUUUCAUAGACUUUGAGAUUGCCCUGGUGUCAGUUGGCCCACUGAUAUUAGCUUUUCUGCCUCCUAUGAGAUAUGUGAACUCUGCAUUUUCAGCCACACCAACUGAACUAUGGGGGGGUUAAUUAAUAAGCAACAAUCAUGUCCAGUGUCGUUAGAGGCCGUACAAGA